GAUGAACGCUGGCGGCGUGCCUAACACAUGCAAGUCGAGCGGAGGAAGAGAGAAGCUUGCUUUUCUCCGACUUAGCGGCGGACGGGUGAGUAACACGUGGGCAACCUGCCUUACACACUGGAAUAACAAUGAGAAAUCAUUGCUAAUGCCGGAUAAGCUUACACUAUCGCAUGAUAGAGUAAGAAAAGAUUUAUCGGUGUAAGAGGGGCCCGCGACUGAUUAGCUAGUUGGUAAGAUAAAAGCUCACCAAGGCGAUAAUGGGUAGCCGGCCUGAGAGGGUGAACGGCCACACUGGGACUGAGACACGGCCCAGACUCCUACGGGAGGCAGCAGUGGGGAAUAUUGCACAAUGGAGGAAACUCUGAUGCAGCGACGUCGCGUGAAUGAAGAAGGUCUUCGGAUCGUAAAGUUUUGUCCUUGGGGAAGAUAAUGACGGUACCCAAGGAGGAAGCCCUGGCUAACUACGUGUCAGCCGCCGCGGUAAU
rnacentral:rRNA from 2 species